rnacentral:rRNA from 1 species
GAUGAACGCUGGCGGCGUGCUUAACACAUGCAAGUCGAACGGUGAAGCAGGAGCUUGCUCUUGUGGAUCAGUGGCGAACGGGUGAGUAACACGUGAGCAACCUGCCCCUGACUCUGGGAUAAGCGCUGGAAACGGCGUCUAAUACUGGAUAUGUGAUGUGACCGCAUGGUCUGCAUCUGGAAAGAAUUUCGGUUGGGGAUGGGCUCGCGGCCUAUCAGCUUGUUGGUGAGGUAAUGGCUCACCAAGGCGUCGACGGGUAGCCGGCCGGAGAGGGUGACCGGCCACACUGGGACUGAGCCACGGCCCAGACUCCUACGGGAGGCAGCAGUGGGGAAUAUUGCACAAUGGGCGGAAGCCUGAUGCAGCAACGCCGCGUGAGGGAUGACGGCCUUCGGGUUGUAAACCUCUUUUAGCAGGGAAGAAGCGAUAGUGACGGUACCUGCAGAAAAAGCACCGGCUAACUACGUGCCAGCCGCCGCCGUAA